rnacentral:rRNA from 1 species
UACGAAGGGGGCUAGCGUUACUCGGAUUGACUGGGCGUAAAGGGCGCGUAUGCGGUUUGUACAGUCAGACGUGAAAUUCCUGGGCUCAACCUGGGGGCUGCGUUUGAUACGUGCAGACUUGAGUUCGGAAGAGGGUCGUGGAAUUCCCAGUGUGGAGGUGAAAUUCGUAGAUAUUGGGAAGAACACCGGUGGCGAAGGCGGCGACCUGGUCCGAUACUGACGCUGAGGCGCGGAAGCGUGGGGAGCAAACAGG